UACGUAGGGUGCGAGCGUUGUCCGGAAUUACUGGGCGUAAAGAGCUUGUAGGUGGUUUGUCGCGUUGUUCGUGAAAUCUCACGGCUUAACUGUGAGCGUGCGGGCGAUACGGGCAGACUAGAGUACUGCAGGGGAGACUGGAAUUCCUGGUGUAGCGGUGGAAUGCGCAGAUAUCAGGAGGAACACCGAUGGCGAAGGCAGGUCUGCUGGCACUACUGACGCUGAGAAGCGGAAAGCAUGGGAGCGAACAGG
rnacentral:rRNA from 1 species